GCGAACUGAUUAGAAGCUUGCUUCUAUGACGUUAGCGGCGGACGGGUGAGUAACACGUGGGCAACCUGCCUGUAAGACUGGGAUAACUUCGGGAAACCGAAGCUAAUACCGGAUAGGAUCUUCUCCUUCAUGGGAGAUGAUUGAAAGAUGGUUUCGGCUAUCACUUACAGAUGGGCCCGCGGUGCAUUAGCUAGUUGGUGAGGUAACGGCUCACCAAGGCAACGAUGCAUAGCCGACCUGAGAGGGUGAUCGGCCACACUGGGACUGAGACACGGCCCAGACUCCUACGGGAGGCAGCAGUAGGGAAUCUUCCGCAAUGGACGAAAGUCUGACGGAGCAACGCCGCGUGAGUGAUGAAGGCUUUCGGGUCGUAAAACUCUGUUGUUAGGGAAGAACAAGUACGAGAGUAACUGCUCGUACCUUGACGGUACCUAACCAGAAAGCCACGGCUAACUACGUGCCAGCAGCCGCGGUAAUACGUAGGUGGCAAGCGUUAUCCGGAAUUAUUGGGCGUAAAGCGCGCGCAGGCGGUUUCUUAAGUCUGAUGUGAAAGCCCACGGCUCAACCGUGGAGGGUCAUUGGAAACUGGGGAACUUGAGUGCAGAAGAGAAAAGCGGAAUUCCACGUGUAGCGGUGAAAUGCGUAGAGAUGUGGAGGAACACCAGUGGCGAAGGCGGCUUUUUGGUCUGUAACUGACGCUGAGGCGCGAAAGCGUGGGGAGCAAACAGGAUU
rnacentral:rRNA from 1 species